CGCCAGGCAAAAGGACCGCCCUGUAACCAGGGCUUAAGGUCUUAUCCCUCUCAUUCUUAAACUAGCAGAACCCCCUUGUGCCUCUGGCUGAGUGACCCCCCUUUAAGAAGGGUCGAGGUUCUACUUCGGCUAGUCACCGUAAAUGGCACUAGAAUGAUUUCUACUUGGCUCUUCUGGGUUCUGAAGUGAAAUCUGAUUUGUGUCCCAUGGAUUUCCUGUCCGGGACACAUGGAACCAGGUGUGGCGAAGGGGCGGCUGUAAGGGGAUGGUGGAGGCCGUGAAAAAUUCAACCCUUUCCUCAAAAAAGCCAAGAAAUCACCAAAGUCCAAAGUGAGCUCCCUCUAACUAGGGUGUAGGUCUUUCUCUCACUUUCCCAAGAUUACACUCCCCUUUGAAAGCUAGUUCUAGAAACCAGCCUCUUGAGAGAGUUAAGGGUUUGCCCUUGUAGCUGCCCUGUGCCCGUGGCCUCCUCACGCACUCAGCCAAGUCAAAGCCCAGCGUACUCUGCAUCCGGAUGGCCCUGAGUUCUGCUGCAAGCUCUCCUGCCUUCUGCUACGGAUUGGUGCCGAAGCCUAGGAACUGGGCAACUCAAAGGACAAAAUGAAGACGACGACAGAAGCACCAAAGAAACUGCAGGAAAAGAGAAGAAAAGGCCAGUCAAAAACCACACACACAUUGCACACAUGGCCCUCCCUGUGGCAUUUACACUUGUCCGCCUAGGCUUAAUCCCCCUGGAGGGACCAGGGGAAAGGACCUCUCCGUAAACGGAGAUCAAGGUCCGCUCCUUGCCAAGAGAAAUGCUUUAUGGGCCCAUUGCGCACCUGCGGCUGAGU